CCUAUCUAGAAAUUUCGUUCCCCUUUCUCUCUCCGGAUCCCUCCCCACGUACAAUUGUCUCUCCCAUCAGAAACAACAAUGUAGCCACACCACGGGCCGGAGAUUUGUGGUGGUAGGAAGCGAGAAAGCAGGUGGUGACCACGGUGAGCGGUUGCCGGUGGAAAGAGAGGAGGUCGUAGGUGACCGGCGGCCGGUGGCGGGAGGAGAUGCAAGAGCCGGACUCGAUGAUGAUGGGGAUUGAUGGCUUUGACGCCAAACAGCAGUAGCCGGUGAGGCCCAAUCCUCCUCAUCCUUACCCCCUUUCUCAAUAGCACCCACACAAGCGACAUCGCCAUCCUCCUCUUCCAUCUCGGGCACGGCGGCACGACGGUACAGGACACCGAACAAAACCGAUGGGAGCAGCUUGCGCAGGCGGACGAGGGAACCCGAGAGCGAUGACGGAGGCGGACCAUGACGGAGACGGGCCUGGCGUUCGUCGUUCAGCCGGGGUCUGACGGCAAGCGGCGGCACGACGACCACCGGAUCUCGAGAGAGAGCUGACGGUGCCGCCUUCACAUCCACCAGUAGCCGUGGUUGGGUGUAUGCUCCUCUUUCCCCGCUACUCAUCUCAUCCCCUUCCCUCCUCAGUUUUUUCUCGGUUAUUCUCACUUCUUCCCCGUGAAAAGAACCAUUCUCGCACAGAGCAGCUACUAGCCUACUACCGUCUCCCUGAACAUAGCCAGACAGGUGAGAUGUGCAAGGUUCGCCAUGGUUAACAUCAGUUAGCUAAUAAUAUAGUAUUUUGAUUUCUUUCUAAUGUGAUUGAUAACAAAUUCUCCCCUUCCUGAAGUAACGCUUUCACUUCUUUGAUCAGCGUUGCAUAGCAUGAUCUGUUGGAUUCUGACUUCGGAUCAUUUUUUCUGCAUUACCAUCCGAUACAACGUACGUCGGUGACUCUAUUUCCAGUCCUCCGCUUCCGCACGCUGAAGUCUGAAGUGCCGCCGACGAGCUACAAGAUACUUGAAUGCAGAACCGUGGUUGAGACCACUUGCCAACCAAGUGAUCAGGCACAAUCAUUCUCAAAAUUAACAGGAUGUACAACAGCUGCACAAUCAUUCUCAAAACUAAUUGGUCUGUGACACCAGGAGCAGCAAAGUGGAUGCCUUCUUUCGGAGCACGAAGUUCAGCUUUAUUAGCGUCCAUGCAAUUGGCAAAGGUGCGGGCAACCAAUAAGAUAACGCCGCAAUCUGAAUUUGUAGCCACUGCACCGACGCUGGCGAGGCUGGCUUCCAGAGUUGCUGCAGACAAGUAAGAUGAGUAAGGUCUCUGAUACGUACUGGACAUAGAUUGUAAGUAUGCUUACCAUGAUAGUGUGCUUCUAUGACCCUUGAUAGUUAUAGGAAACUGUAAAGCUGUCGCCUUAAAUUCCAGACUAUCUUUUAGGUACGUUCCGAUAGUUCAUGUAACAAAGAUAACCCACGAUUUGAUCAUACAUCUGAAUCACAACUACAUGAGCUAUGAAUGUGGAGCCAAAAUUAUUAACUUAUGAAGAUAAAUAAAAAUCAUUUUGAAAAUUUCUGCGGAAGUGACCUACCCUACUAUACAACUGCAACUGGUCGUGGGCAAGUUAUAUGAACAUAUUAAUUAUUUAAGAACAAAUCUUAUUUCAGAGAAACACGCCUAUUGUUAGGCAUAAUUAAUUCAUCAAGAUUAGACUAUCUGUGUGUUUUAUUAUAUUAUGUAGUUGUACCAGUGCAUGUUUAAUGCUGUAGACAACAUGUGUAUGCAAAGCUCGAAUAGAUAAAUAUUUAUGUUGUCCUUGCUAGAUGAACUGAACGUAAUUUUCUUGCUCCAUUUCUUUUACCCUAAAUAUUUCUAGCCAUGAAUGAUUUCUAAAAAUCAGACGAUUCAUUAAAUUAAUAAUUCAUUCUUAUCGAUAUGAAAAGGCGUUCACCAUUCAUUGGUGAUUUUCAGUUGUAGAUUUUUUCAUCUACAUCUCAGCUCGGCCUUAGUCGCAUGAACAAAAGCAUUGUUAUUAAUUUUUUCUUCUUACUAAACACAGCCUGGGAUCUCCUCAAACGGAUUGAUCAGUAGAAUAUAAAGGCACAAGUUCUGGAACUAAUUCUUCAUACCAGUAAUGCAGAAAUAUCUGCUCAUAAAUAAUUCCUAGGAAGAGCUACAGAAAUAGCUAUGUGAGAAAGCUAUGGGUAUUUAUUGCUCCCUAUCAAUCUAUUAUACAUUAUAAAAAUAUUUUCAUAUUAAAUAACCUGAGUACAUGCCCUCACUGGAACUUAACUGGGAUGUAGUACUGCAAAUAUGAACUAACUUUUUCAUGAUUUAGAGUAUUAUUUAUAAAUAAAUAUACUACGAUUGCUUUACCACUACAAUGUCCUGCAGGUGAUCUCUUGAUUAUUCUGCUAAAUCUCUCAGGAGUCAGGAGUAUGUGUACACAUUAUUGAAUGUGUUCACUACUAUGAAACCAUGUAGCUAAAUCAGGUAUUUUUCAAAAUGGCGAACAUCGAAAUGCACACAACUUCAUGUUAAAUGUAGAUACUGCAACAAUUCAGCCAAGUAUGCAGAGUCUAAUUUAUUUGAUUGCUUGAGGAAUUAAGGUAACCCAUUUAUGUAUCAUGGUUUGCUCCUUUCUUUUUUGUCUUAGAUAAUCAACUUAGGGAAUUCGAGAUAGUGAAUAGAUUUCCGUACUAUUAAAUUAAGAACUACAUUUUUUUUUCAAUUUCGUUACAGAUACACAAUUUUUUUUUUGUUUAUUGCACGUUGCUUCUAUGGAUGUCAAUUGCUAGCUACAUCAAAUGUAUUGGCUAAUCAGAAAAGUUUGCGGGUAUUGGCUAAGAAAAUUUAAAGCUUUAUCGGUGAGUGGAGAUGUGGAUGUCUCUCUGUAAAAACAUCUUCCUCUUUAAACCGUCACUUGGUGAUUGGAAACAAAAACUCAAAUAUGUCGAGCUGCAUAAAUAUUGUUCUUCUAUAGCUACGGUAGGUUCAAUACUUCUGUCGGAUCAUGAUCAGUUUAUCUGAGCUGCGGUGCAUACAUUUUUGUGUAUACACAUUUUUAGCUAUGCUUGCUUAAGAUUCAAGGGGUUUUUAUUGACACAUCUCUUACUUGCAUGCCUACUAUGUUGCUUUUCAGAUGGUACAAGUGUGAGAUUGAACUGAGCUUUUGCCGUUCACAAAGACUCUAAUGUGCUUCCAUACAAAUACAUAGAGAUAAUGAUGCAACAUCAUUUUUUCCUGGUGUUUGAGAUUCGUGUUGCAUGUCCAACUCGUAUCAUUCAAGGCUGAAAUCUGACUCCAACAUACGGUGAAACAAUUUCAGGACACCCUGAUCAAAAGGCUUUGUCACCAUCAUUGUUUAAAUGGCUAACGACUGAGUACUUUCUCAGCCAAGGGAACAUCUAUUAUGCAAAUGAAUAUUAGGUUUACUGGAUCAAGAUGAUGUAACUUCAUGUAAGAGAAGUUUUUUUUCUUCCUAUCACUUCUAAAAGAUUGUCGGUCCAUGUUUUUUUUUGAAUAAGAAGUUCUGUAGUUGUUUGCUCAAAUAUGUAGUGAGCUUACUCUUAUGUGACAUCACAUCGUCAGUUAAAGUCCAUAUGUCCAUUCUUAUUUUUCCUUGAUAUUUUGUUUGAAUGAUAUUAGUAAUAAAUUCAAAUUGCAUGCUACAAAUACUGCCGCA